rnacentral:rRNA from 1 species
UACGAAGGUGGCAAGCGUUGUUCGGAUUUACUGGGCGUACAGGGAGCGUAGGCGGUUCGGUAAGACCUCUGUGAAAUCUCCAGGCUUAACCUGGAACAGUCGGAGGGGACUGCCGGGCUAGAGGACGGGAGAGGAGCGCGGAAUUCCAGGUGUAGCGGUGAAAUGCGUAGAGAUCGGGAGGAAGGCCGGUGGCGAAGGCGGCGCUCUGGAACGUUUCUGACGCUGAGGCUUGAAAGCGUGGGGAGCAAACAGG